rnacentral:ncRNA from 1 species
GCAAAGUAGGAAGUUGCGCGUUAAGUGUUGCAAAACGGGAUGUUGUUUGCAAACGAAAAGGCUCCGAUUAAAAAACGGAUAAACCUUGCGGUGCGCUUCCGCGUCCGUUG